UACGAAGGGGGCUAGCGUUGUUCGGAAUCACUGGGCGUAAAGGGCGCGUAGGCGGCUUUGUAAGUCGGGGGUGAAAGCCUGUGGCUCAACCACAGAAUUGCCUUCGAUACUGCAUGGCUUGAGACCGGAAGAGGUAAGUGGAACUGCGAGUGUAGAGGUGAAAUUCGUAGAUAUUCGGAGGAACACCAGUGGCGAAGGCGGCUCACUGGCUCGGUACUGACGCUGAGGCGCGAAAGCGUGGGGAGCAAACAGG
rnacentral:rRNA from 1 species